AGAGCAAAAUGAGAGAAAUGGAGGUUUUGAAUAAAAACCUUCCAAAAUUCGUAGAGAGAGCUAGAGACCUCCAAAUCACUCCGUUCCAAAGCCAAACUUGUGAGAAAUUUCGAGAGGAAUCCAUUGGUACCAGUAUUUCUGGGUGGGUUUCACUGUAGAGAGAGAUCUUCAUCAUCUAAGAUUUCGAAUUUCAUGGAUAAUGGUGAUUUUGAUGGAGCUUGAGGCCAUGGGAGCUUAGAUACUCAUCUCUCCUUUGUUUUAGAGUGCAUUGUGGUGUACCUACUGUGAACGUUUGGAUUCUCGUGGAGCAUGAUAAGUAGCUUGCUCUUCAAGUAAGCAAACUGUAAAGCUCCAAGAGGAACACAGUUAAUUGAAGAGCCUCAUGGGACAAGGACACUAACCGUGGCUAGAGGUACUAGUAUGAGGAUGUGGAGUUCUGGGUGGUCGGAUGCUACUAUUUGUUUUAGACGUAUUUUUGGAAAAGAUGUAUUGUUGCAUAGUGUUCAUAUUCGAUACAUGUACAUUUAUGUAUUCAGGCAUGAUGAUAUGACUAUGUAGUAUUCAGUUAUAUUAUGUAUUGGAUUGCAUGCUAUUAGAUUUGUGGCACGGAGCCAAGUUCAGCAUGCGCCCAUAGAUGGGUAUCUGAGUAUAUUUGCAUGACUGGUACUUCUGGAAAUAUAUAUUGUUUAAACUGUCUAUCAGGAACUCUUGAGAGUGGGA